rnacentral:lncRNA from 1 species
GUUUCUCCCGGAUGAGUCCUUGGAUUGGUGGAUUUUAACUCCAGAUUAACCAGCAAAGCAUUUUCUGCUAUGGGAGUUUAACGAAAUACAAGUGGAAGAUGUACAGAGUCAACGAUCCAGCAGCUAUUAAGACGAAGAGGAGGAUUUCUAGACUUGGCUUUUUUAUUCGGGAGAACGAGAAGCCGCAAGGAUUUAAACUUCGGCAGCAUCAGUGCCAGGCGGGAUGCUUUCUCGGCACACGUGGAAAUCUAAACACUCAUGGAGACACUUUGAGGAUUAUAAAAAAAAAUGUGUCGCACAAGACAUUUCCCAGGUCAACGUCACAGGCGUAGCAGGAUGCUGCACUGCUGGUCCUCCUCGGGCCUCAGCUUGGGAGUGUGAUGAAUCAUGGAAUGAUAAGGACCAAUCAGGAAGCAAACGUGGGUGUCUGCAUCAUCCUUCUAAAAAGUGCAAGUCUCUGCCCGUCCAGAUUAAAAACGAAACCCAGAGCUUCGAAACUAAAAAUGGGCCUGUGGCGUUUCCAGUUCUCUCUGUUGUGGGGGAGUGUGGGAGCAGUGAGGUCUGGGAGAUCAUGACCUUAAUUCUCUCCAAGACAGACAGUUUAAUUAACACUGGAGGAAUCCUCACCGGCUCCAGACCUUUGCGAUGGGAAUGUUCAGGGGAAUUGGAUUGCCAAGGUCCUCUCGGCCAUUUAGUAGACUGUGAAGCCGACAGACGAUGCCCAUGA